UUACCACAAACCUGCAGAAUAGAGUAUGUAUUCGGGCAUGCUGGACUAGGUGAUCAAGAGAAUGUCCAGUCAAAUUUAUGUAACAUAAAUUUAUUUUCUUACUAUAUAUGAUGACAAUGCAUAAAACCAAUUUUACAGCGAGUUCUCAGUGUGAAUCUCAUGCAGGAGGAGUUAGGUUGCAAGUCAAAUGUAACACUCGUGAUUAAAAUAAUGCCCAAAUGACCUUUUGAUCAAAAUCAUUUUCUUUCUCUAAGAAGGUCUUUUUUAGGUUUUCCACGUACUUUUAUCUUUAAAGGUUAAUAUCAUGCAGUCAGAAAGUAGUAGUUGGUGUCAUAUUUAAUGCACAUGAUGACAACAAGACAUGCACCCAUUAUAAGUUUUUCCCUGGUUAUUUGAUUACAGUUGAUAAAUUUUAUUCUUCUGAUGCUUGCCUUUAAUAAUUUUCAUUCCCUGUGAAUCAUUUGCCGUUUUUCAGAAUGCUUUCAAAUAGAGA
rnacentral:misc_RNA from 1 species